GACGAACGCUGGCGGCGUGCUUAACACAUGCAAGUCGAACGGUAAGGCCCUUCGGGGUACACGAGUGGCGAACGGGUGAGUAACACGUGGGUGAUCUGCCCUGCACUCCGGGGUAAGCCUGGGAAACUGGGUCCAAUACCGGAUAGGACUCCUGGCUUCAUGGUUGGGGGUGUCAAGCUUUUGCGGUGUGGGCUGGGCCCGCGGCCUAUCCGCUUGUCGGUGGGGUAAUGGCCUACCAAGGCGACGACGGGUAGCCGGCCUGAGAGGGUGACCCGUCACACUGGGACUGAGAUACGGCCCAGGCGCCUACGGGAGGCAGGAGUGGGGACUAUUGCACAGGGGGCGCAAGCCUGCUGCAGCGACGCCGCGUGAGGGAUGACGGCCUUCGGGUUGUAAACCUCUUUCAGCUAGGACGAAGCGCAAGUGACGGUAGUAGCAGAAGAAGGACCGGCCAACUACGUGCCAGCAGCCGCCGUAA
rnacentral:rRNA from 1 species